rnacentral:rRNA from 1 species
UACGGAGGGUGCAAGCGUUGCUCGGAAUUAUUAGGCGUAAAGGGUAGGUAGGUGGUCUCAUUUGUCUGGGGUGAAAGCCUUGAGCUUAACUCAAGAAGUGCCCCAGAAACGGUGAGACUAGAGUCUUGGAGAGGGUCGUGGAAUUCGCGGUGUAGCGGUGAAAUGCGUAGAGAUCGGGAGGAACACCAGAGGCGAAAGCGGCGACCUGGACAAGAACUGACACUCAACUACGAAAGCGUGGGGAGCAAACAGG